AGGCGCUUCACUGUGCUAUUUAUGCUAAUCAUUGAUAUUAUCCCAGCAUGUGGUCAAGCAGUUACUGAUGGUCUUUCCUGCCCAGAGCAACAGCAGGCCUUUGAGAGCUCCUGCUAUGAAUCUGUGGUCAUGCAGUGCCUUUUCCUCGAGGCUCAAGCUUGGUGUGAACAGGGAGGUGGGCACCUGUCCUUCAUCCAGAAUUAUAAGACCCAACAAUUUCUCCAAAAACAUCUGCAGACUGAGCAGAACUGGUGGAUAUGACUAGCUCCAGGCUUCGACGAGCUUACUCUGGACUUAAAAGGUGGCUUCUGCUGGCUAGAUGGUUCAGAUGUAAUGUACUCAAACUGGUUCAGUGAGCUGAUGUGGGAUACUGGCUGCGGCUACAUUGACACUGACUCUGGAUUUCACUGGAAGACAAGUAACUGUAGUCAAGAAUUCUUCAUUUGCGAGUUUGAUGGUCUUGAUGGUCCGACUUGCUAAGAGGGAUUGUACACACUGCUAUUAACAGCCCUCCACUGACCUUGAGAAGAUGAGGAGAAACAUGGUCAAACAGCAGAAAGCGAGGGCACUCGUCAUGGAGAUCCUAGGUUUUCUGGGUUUCUUGUGGGUGCUGCUCUUGGUCGCAUAUGGUCAGCAAGAUCCAAAUGCUUACUAACUCACUCAGCACAUCCGGAAGAGCUUCAGCAAUGGAAUAGGAGACAGUAUGAACCAAAAGCAUGUGUUUACCUGGGCAAACUCUGUACUUCUUAGCAACCUCUUUGGACAGUAUCCAGGUUAUAGAUUCUGAUCCUGUGCUUGGCGCUCUCAUCGUUACCACUUGCGUCGUCUUCAUUACAUUUGUCAUUCUGACCCUCUUUGUCUCUGUGAUCCUCGAGGCCUUCAGUGAAGAACAGAAGAAUCACCAGGUUUUACGAGUCACUUUCACAUUUCAGAUUGUCUAACUGCUCUUAGACUAAUUUGCACAAGCAUACACAUAUAUAUUCACUGUAGUUAAAGGAAUAGUUCACACAAAAAUGAAAAUACCCUUAUCAUGACUUACUUUCUUCUGCUGAAUACAAGCGAAGAUUUUUAGAAGAAUAUUUCAGCUCUGUUGGUCCAUACAAUGCAACUGAAUGGGUACCAAAAUGUUAAAGCUCCACAAAGCACAUAAAGGCAGCAUAAAAGUAAUCCUUAGGACUCCAGUGGUUAAAUCUAUGUCUACAGAAGCGAUAUAAUAGGUGUCGGUGAGAAACAGAUCAGUAUUAAAGACCUUUUUUUUUUUUUUUUUACUAUAAAGAAGAAUGUGAAAGCAGAGAUUGAUCCGUUUCUCACCCAAACCUACCAUACCGCUUAAGACAUGGUAUUUAACCACUGGAGUCUUGUGAAUUUCUUUAUGCUGCCUUUACAGUAUAUGUACCCAUUCAACUGCAUUGUAUGGACAUACAGAGCGGAGAUAUUCUUACAAAAAUAUCUUCAUUUAUGUUCAGCAGAAGAAUGAAGUCAUACGCAUCUGGGAUGGCAUGAGGGUGAGUAUAUGAUGAGAAAAUUUUCAUUUUUGGGUGAACUAUCCCUUUAAUAGUUAUAACUUAAAACAGUUGUUAAACCACUGAUAACUGAACAAAUCUUUCUAACACUCAGCCUUAUGAGGAAGUGAAAUUGCCGACCUGAUAAGUUCCUCAGUCUUUUCAGCGUCACAUGCAAGAAAAGAGAAGCAGGCGACAAAGAAACUCAUCCUUCCGAGAGCACCACCUAGACCUCUUCAUAUCAUUGACAACUAGAAGAUCCCAGAGACAAAGUUACUUCACUCCUGCUGUGUCACCUUGUCUUCAAAUACCUACUUAGUCCAAACAAAACAUCUGUAUUUGAGCUCAUUAAUAACUCACACUGCUACAAUGCACUUGGUAGUCUAAAUUUUCUUUUCAGGAAAACUUUACGAUCAUUCCUACAUGUAAAGCACAACUGAAAAGGGAAUUACCAUUUUAUUAUAUAGCAGAUGAUUUAAGGAUAUAUUUUGAAACCUCUUCUUUAAAAAACUGUACACUGCAAAACUAUUAAGGUUGAAAAUAUUCUUAAAUGAACACUGCAAUAAACAUGUUUUGCAAAUAGAGAAAUGUGCUCUUUGUGAACUUGUACUAUACGCUUUGCUUUAAGCACGAGGUGAACAAAUAAAACAUGUUACGCCCCACAACAAGCUUGUUUAACAUUGCUUUUUAUAAUGAUAUAAAAAAAAUAAAAUAAAAAAAAAAUUCC